rnacentral:rRNA from 1 species
GUCCACGCUGUAAACGAUGAGUGCUAGACGUCGUGGGUAUUGACCCCCGCGGUGUCGAAGUUAACACGUUAAGCACUCCGCCUGGGGGAGUACGGUCGCAAGAUUAAAAACUCAAAAGGAAUUGACGGGGGCCCGCACAAGCGGUGGAGCAUGUGGUUUAAUUCGACGCAACGCGAAGAACCUUACCAGGGUUCGAAAGGCAGGAGACCGGUGUAGAGAUACACUUCCUUCGGGGCUGCUGUCUAGGUGCUGCAUGGCUGUCGU